rnacentral:tRNA from 1 species
CAUUAGGUGACUGAAAGCAAGUAAUGGUCUCUUAAACCACUUCAUGGUAAAUUAGCUCCUACCCCUAAUG